rnacentral:rRNA from 1 species
AUACGAAAGGUGCAAGCGUUGUUCGGAUUUACUGGGCGUAAAGAGAGUGUAGGUGGUUUAUUAAGUCGGAUGUGAAAUCCCGGGGCUCAACCUCGGAACUGCAUUCGAUACUGAUAGGCUAGAGUUUGGGAGGGGUAAGCGGAAUUCCGUGUGUGGCAGUGAAAUGCGUAGGUAUACGGAGGAACACCUGAGGCGAAGGCGGCUUACUGGACCAAUACUGACACUGAGACUCGAAAGCGUGGGUAGCAAACAGGAUUAGAAACCCUAGAAGUCC